AAUCACUUACUAUUGUCCGAAAAAGGUAAUUUAACCCCAGACAUUCAUCUCCGUCCUCGUACAGAGUCUUAACACCGCCGGAGCCACCACUGGCGGUGAACGCUGCCAUGUCCAAAUCCCACUAAAAUAACACCCCAACUUCUCCUUCUCAUCCUCUUUCCAGAUAUACCAGCCUUUUCUUCAAAAUCCCUCCCUAUCUCGUCGAAUAAUGGUUCAAAGUUUUUCGGCCACAACUCAAUCUUGUCCAAAUCCAUACAAAUCAACACCAUAGAAGCGCCUCACUACCCUCAUCCCAAACUGCUAAUUGGUUACCCUCAAAUAUGCCCGAAAUUGGUUGAAUAUCAAAUUGAAGUUUCUCUAGUCAAAACCCAAGUCGCCCCAAUUAGCCUCAAAAUAGUAGCAGACAUUCCUGGGGCCUUCCCCAUGACGAAUCCAAGACCAAUUACAUUCAAUUUACAUUAGAGCUGUUCAAAUUUGUAUGUGAAGGCUGACCAGACUUUGUUUAGUAAGUUGGCUCCCUUCCUUUCCCUUUCAGUUUCAAUUAUUCAUCCAUCUCUGUUUUUCUUGCUAGCAUGCAAUUUUAAUUAAAGUGUUAAAAUUAUUUCGACAAUAAUUAGUUUGCACAAUUAGUUUAAUUUGGUAGUUUCUUGUUUAGCUUGACUUCUGUCUUUAAUUCUGUUAGAAUAAUAAUUGAUAACGGUUUAUUUCUAAUUGUUGAUUGAGUUGGUCAAUAAUCGAACAAAAUUAUGUAAUUAGUGCAUGCUUCAGUUAAAUAACUGGUUAGUUUGUCCAUGUUUAGUUCGGUUGUUUAGAGCACAAUUAGUUAAUAAAAUGUUAGUUUGGGGUUUUCAUUUGAGGAUUGAAUGAGAGAUUCUAGCUAGAAUACCCUAGGAGCUUCUAGAUGGGGGGUUCUAAGUAAUUUGCAAAGAAUAACAGUAGUUAUUUGUGUGCCAAGUUAAUAAUUAAUGGGUAUAAACUAAUUAGAGGAGGGGACUAAAAGGAAAAUGAAAAUCUUCUUGGUUGCCUAUAAAAGAGCAUGACAAUUGACAUGUUAAGGGUCUUUUUCUUUUCAGCUGAAGAUAUAUCCAGAAUUUCCUCUCUCUGAUUUUCAGAUCUGAAGCUUGAAUUCCAGCCUCCAAAAUUCAAAAAAAAAAAAUUAACAGAGAAAAUCAAAAAAAAAAAAAAAAGUAGUUACUAUUUCAUUGGUCAUUUGGGUUGAAUUUAAUUUUGGUGAUUAAUUUCAAGUUCUGGUUCCAUACUUGGUAGCUGAGCACUAAUUUCUAGUGUGAUUGAACCGUGUGGGUUGAAUUUAGAUAGCUCAUGGUUUGCUUUGGUCCUUUACUGCUUUAUCCUCGGUAGAACUAGUAGCUGUUGGUUGGAAUAUCAAUAUCUGGGUCAAAAAUCGAUUCAAAGUCACCUUUAAUUGCUGACUGAGCUACUGCUUUGCUGCUAAAAUCUCCUCCUCUUAUUUUUUAUCUACAUUUCGAUGUGCAUUUCCUUUAUCUUCUUGAGUUGGAAUCUUGCUUCAUAUAUGUAUGAUAAGUUGGUAGAUCAAGGAAGAAAAUUGUUGUUUGCGCGUUUGAGUUCACAUAGGAUUGUUGUUAAACUUUCAAUAUUCAUGCCUACCUAUUUGAUGCCUAAUUGUAAUUAUGAAUAACUCAGGACUGUAUACCCUGUUAUGAACUAUUUGGAAAGUGUUCUAGCAUUAUGUGAGUCAUUAUUAGAUUUGUGAGAUUCUGGAGGAGCAAGCUGUCUUUAAUCUUCUAUCACUUAGUUUCCUUAUAUGAAUAAUCGUUGUAGAGUUAAUGUGUAUGUGAAUUUAAAGUAGUAUCGAUUAGAAGGCUCAUGUGUAUUGAAUCUGCCAGUUAAAACUCGUUAAUUUGGUUAGUUGUAAGGGUGUAAUUUGGUCAAUACUAAUUCCUAGGUUUUGCCACAAUUUGUGUGUGCCAGUUGUGAUUCGAAUUGUAUCCGUGAGCUAGACCUUGAGAUUGGGGAUCUCCUAAUUGAUUAGGCUAUGAAUUUGGCCCAGUGCACGUUUUAAAACACUGUUGCCCGGGCUCGGUGUCUGAUUUGGACGUAAUCGCUGGUGAACAAGCAAUGGGCUCCUAUCUGGAGCCUGUUCAUAUUGGGCUUUUAGACCCAAGGUUGAAAUACAUCUGGUCUGAUUAGGUAAAGGAGCGGCAGACUAAAGUUUUUCAUAACAUUUUAAUUAAGGCUUUUCCUUUCUUUAGGAACAAAUUAAGUAGAUAAUUGUCGCUUUUAGAUCGGCUUUAAAAUAAAGUGAGCCUCGCCUCGCCAAAUAAAACUACAAAUUGUGGGGCCCUCAAUAAAUGGUUAUUGAAACACUUAGAAUUCGGGAGGGCCGUUUAGUGAAUUUUACGGUUUUCCCCAAAAUAAUAUUGCGUUAGACUCUUUAGGCGCGAUUUAAUUAAAUUACUUUUUUAAACUCGGAUGUGUAUUGAUGCGAUCCAAAUCC
rnacentral:lncRNA from 1 species